GGUUCAAUGGUCUAAUGGUUAUGAUUUCUGUCUCACAUUGAGAUACGCUCACAGAAGGUUCCCAGUUCGAUCCUGGGUUGAACCA
rnacentral:tRNA from 1 species